ensembl:lncRNA
UCGAUAGACAAAAUCGUUUUCGCAUACCACAGCAACGAAUUUCAGGCAUGAUGCCAAAAUGACACUUCAGCCUGUAUCUCUGCAAUGCUUUGGCAUACUGACACCAAACUUUGUGUGUGCCAUUGUCACCUCACAUAGAACACACCAAAAUGAUUUGAUCACAGCGCCACCUGUUGAUCAAAAGUGAUAAGCCAUUUAAUCAUAAUACUAGUGCUUGUAUUUAUGAUUUUUCCGCCAUUUCAAUUACAAUCUUCCUAAAAUUGCUGUAAUUGCUCAUUGUUGCAUUUGGUGUGAUGCUCCAUGCCAUGCUUAGCUCCUCAAUUUGCUGCUGGAGUGCUUGGCCCCGUAAUUGCUGCUUGCAGCUAUAUUUAGGGGCCAAGCACCGAAGGUGCGUAGGCACCUAUUGUAUCCGUGGGCGUUAUUUUCUUCUUCUUCUUCUUCUUCUUCUUCUUCUUCUUCUUCCGCCGCAAGUCUAUGGCAGCCCAUAGAACCGAUUGCGGGAAAGUUGUAUAAUUUGGCACACUGAUAGAGGACAGUCCCAGCAUUAACUAUAGCAAAUUUGAAGUCUCUAACUCCAACUCUCUAGCGCCA